rnacentral:rRNA from 1 species
AGCGAACGCUGGCGGCAGGCCUAACACAUGCAAGUCGAACGAAGUCUUCGGACUUAGUGGCGGACGGGUGAGUAACACGUGGGAACGUACCUUUUGGUUCGGAACAACUCAGGGAAACUUGAGCUAAUACCGGAUGAGCCCUUAGGGGGAAAGAUUUAUCGCCGAAAGAGCGGCCCGCGUUAGAUUAGCUAGUUGGUGAGGUAAAGGCCCACCAAGGCUACGAUCUAUAGCUGGUCUGAGAGGAUGAUCAGCCACACUGGGACUGAGACACGGCCCAGACUCCUACGGGAGGCAGCAGUGGGGAAUCUUGCGCAAUGGGCGAAAGCCUGACGCAGCCAUGCCGCGUGAAUGAUGAAGGUCUUAGGAUUGUAAAAUUCUUUUACCAGGGACGAUAAUGACGGUACCUGGAGAAAAAGCCCCGGCUAACUUCGUGCCAGCCGCCGCCUGUAAAAC